GGAGAAAUGAUGCAAAUGUAUUUCUUUGUUGUAUUUCUUUCUUGUAUUUAUUUAAAUAUUAUUAUACUCCGAUCUAU